AAUGGGUGGCGAUGGUGCCCAUUAUUCGUAAUGAGGAGCAACCUAUACAAAAGACACAAUAAAUUAGUACCACUGCCUGUUUUUUAGGCACUAACAUACGCCCUGAUCAAACACUCCAUCAUAAUUCAUGCUGACUGAUAAGCAGUACCCCCACCCUCUGUCGCCGACCGCCGUGCGCGCCUGUGCGCGGUGCGCGGUGGGUCUCGAUGGACGACGGCGCCGGUGCCACUGAGCGGAGCAGACGGAUAAGGUUGGCCAAUUCCUGAUUUGGCAUCAUCAAUUGUUGCUUGUGGGCUGUAGGAGGGAGGGGCUGAGGUGAUGGUUGCUACUGGACCUUAUUCGUCCUCCCAGCCCCAAGCGCAGUGCUCUCACCGGUCACCACUCCGGCGGCCCCUGUGUCCCGCCGCCUCCCCAUUCCUUUUCCCCAUGCUCGUUCCCUCCCCAUACAUCGGUGGCGCCUGUGGAGACAUCGGAGAAACUCCACCCGCUCAGCUUCACCAGCGCCGUGGGGCUGCCUGGCUCUCCAGACUCCCCACGUCGCCGCCGACGGCCGCACGACAGAAAGCUGAUGCGGGUGCAGCCACGACUUCGGAGCAUGGUCAGUUGCUUUGCGCCGCGCGCCGUCAGCCCAACUGCUGAAAGCUAUGCUACCUUUCGUCUGUCGUCACUCACUUCUACUCUAUUUCGUCACGUCGUGCAUAUGGUUGCUCUCCAUCCCAGGCAAAAUACAACAUCGGAGGGCCAGCUUCAAUAGAGGGUGCUCUCAAAGAAGACCUGCACGAAUUGCAGGAGACCGGAACAUUAGGGAGCAUCGCAUUGGGAAGAAACGCCACAGGAUGGUCAACUCGAAGGACUUUUUUUUAUGCCUGCAACGUAUUCGGCAAAAUGUCCAUAAGACCAUAACCUAACACAAUGAGUUACAUAGCCGUGUUCAUAUAAUACAUGAUGAUGAUAAGUUAUCAGCCUCAUAUUUGUAUUUUUAAUUAAGGAUGUUAUAAACUUGAAUAACACAAUUGUUUUUUAGAGUUUUAUUUAGUGGCAUCGGUGUCUAAAAUACAUACCUUUAAUGUUUCUGCUUAUUGUAAGGAAAUAGGCUAGAGUAAAUACAUUGCAUCUUGUUAUGCCCUUGUUCAUCAGAGUCUACGUGUUAGCUAUGUGUAACUUAUUAUAUUUUAUGAAUUAAAUCCUUGUUUUGUCUAUACUCGAAAUUGCAGGUCAAGUUUUAAUUCAUUGGAAGCCUUUAUUAUAUUGCUCCAGAGAUACUACAUAAAUGCUGUGAACAAGAAGCUGAUUUGAGGCCGACAAGAGUUAUAAUCUAUGUUUUGCUUAAUUAGUUAUAUAUAUAGCACCUUUUGAGCAGGUAAGUCUUCUAUUCUUAGCUCUUAUUUCCAAGACAUUCAGGUUAACUAUAGUACUGAAUCUGAAUUGAUGCAAGGUAUAUUUUACACAGUCCUGAAGUGGCAUAUUGAUUUUAACUCAGACCAAUCUCUAUCUCUACAACUAAAACACACUAAAAGCAAUCGUCCACUCGGAUUCCCCUCGCUCCCGCACUCCUAUCGGCGCAGCACUCCCCUCGCUCAGAUUCCCCUCGCUCCCGCACUCCUCAGUGACGCCGCACUCCCCUCGCUCGGUUUUCCCUCGCUCCCGCACUCCCCUAGGCGCUGCAAUCCCCUUCGACGCCGCACUCCCCUCGCGCUCUGCAUCUGCAUCUCGACCCAGCCCUUCAACUCCCUCAACGGCAGCGGUGGAGUGUGCCGCAGCCAGGUACGUGGUGCAGCGUCGAGCAGAGGAACAUCGCGGCCACAUCCUGUUUCGCACCUCGCCACAAACAUGUUUCUAACACGGAGGCCCGCCGCUCGCUGAUCACACCGCGACGAAACGUGGUGUCAUGGCGGCACGCACUGCCUGCCGAAGUGCCGAAUCGCCGUUUCCCGACGCUUGUUGUCACCGCGUGUCCGCGGCCCGCCUCGCAGCAUCCCUGACGCCUAAGGAUAGGCCGAACGAUGGAUGCCCAGGUCCAGCCGAUCAUCUGGCCAAGUCUCCGGCGCUACCAUGUCGCCCGCCUGGCUACGGGCCACGCCAGCCUCUAGCCCGAGCGUCCCUCUCAGUCCUGCAUCUGCUGUGUACACGGUGAGCAAUGGCGGAUACAGAUCCAGUUCUUUGUAUGAUUUUGAAUAUCAGCACAUAAGUACUAGGGGAUGCUGGUCUGGAUCUUUGUUUGAUCUUGAAUAUUAGCAUAUUGAUUCACGUGAUAUUUUCAAUUUGCGUUUCAGUUAGAUCUAGCUGCAGAUAAUUUCUUUUUUCCUGUAAGAUAGAUGGAAGUAUGGUAUUAUUACCUGCAAUCAGCUAGAUGCUCCUCUGUAAGGAUUUUUCUUUUCAGAUAACUGAACCAUAGUAAACAUUGUUUUCAGAAUCAUGCUAACUGAAUGUACACUUAUGGCUUUAAAACAUAUCUAUUCGUCAGGCUUGAAAUAGCUCACUGAUUUAUGGCUUGAAACAGCUUCGAAUGUUCCUCAAGUAGCAUGAUGGAAUUUUUAAAUAUGCAUGUAACUAGAGAGCAUCUUCUUGUCUGCAUGAAUAUUUGGAUAAGGAACAAUUCACCUGCAGUUUUAACAGAAAUGUUUAGUUAUAUAAGAAUUCAUUCUGAUGAACUGAACAUUCUGAAUGAGUUUAUAGGUGUGUGGAGAACUGAGAUCACAGCAUGGCAUGCCUAACUUGCUCCAAAAUGGAAGACAUACUUUUUGUUCACUGUUCAGAAAUUAGGAAGUGCUGGUAAUCUGAUCCCCAAAUUAGAUUACUUAAUUUGUGUUGCUGCUUAUUUGGACUAUGAGAGCACGCAACAUGAAGUGAUGGGCGUGUUGCAUUGUUGUGGGGAGCCUUUCAUGCUUCUUGGCUAUAUUAGAUAAUGAGAUUUUGAUGGAGAUUAAGUAGCAUAUCAAAAAUUCAUUUCUAAAAAGAAUACAUGUGCAGGCUGGUGGAAUUACACAGGUGACUUGAUAUUCUAAUGGUCUCAAAAUCAGUUUACCAUUGCAGUUUAAUGUCCACCUUAGGCCCUGAAUUAUUUCAAUUUGUUAUUAUAAGCCUUUGAGUCCUGUUGUCCUACAUUAUUGUAAUUUUUCAUAGUAAAAUGGAGGAUUUAUUUAAUUGCCAGCUAAGUGCAAUACCUCCAUCUGACCUGAAGUUGUUUGACAUGUCUGUUUUAGCCUUUCAGGGUUUCUCUGCUUCAGUUGAUCAGCUCUGAAUUCAUUUGUGUUGGCACACACCAGGCACUCAGGUCUUGCGCCGCCGCUGCCACACACUAGGCACGUGGAAUCAAGAUGCUGCUCCGACGUCCGUUGCAACAUAUUGCCGAUCUCGCCACCUACAGUCCAUGGAACCUGCAACAGAUCGAUCGUGGUGCCAUCCUAUACAGCAUCUGGCAUUAGUUCCAAGCAGUCAGUUCGAUUCUGGUGAUCAGGUAAUUUCGCCAACCAUUAUUUCAUAGUCUCAUGCUCAAUUUGGUUUUACGCUCGAAGUUUCUUUGUUUCAGUUUGAUGGAGCUGUGAUAAUUAUUGUUAACUUUUGCAUUAUGUGAUGCAAAAUAAUUUGAUCAUGCAAGACUUUAUGAGUCGGUUGUUCAUUGGUCUUUCAUCUUCUUGUCAUGAAAACUAACAUCAUAAUUUAGUGAAAAUCUGUUUAGAGGCAUUCUAUAAUUUCCAAAUGACAGUUAUCACAAAUUUUUGAAAACAAAUGCUAGCACAAGUACAGAACCUACUACUAAUCUGUAAAAAUAUAGUUUGGAAACUCUAAAACCUGCACUUGCUGAAUAGCAAAACUAUUAAAACUAUAGAAAUAGUAUAAACUGUAGCAAUCUGACAAUAGAAAAAACUGAAAGCGGAUGCUACUUAUUCUCAAGCAAAACUGAAAAUAGAUUUUGCACUUGUUGCAACCUGCAAAACAACAAAACAACACAAAAGAGAAUAAAUAGCUAUAGCAUUGAAUUUUAUUGACAAAUUGGAGUUCACCUGUAGAAUUGCUUAGUUAAUCUGCACACUAUUUGGUUGGCAUAGUAUUUUAAUUGAAUUUUUAGCAUAAGGAUAUUUGAAAUAAGCUGAUCUGCCAGUAAUGACUAAUGAGGAUACCUUAGUGUUUGGGAUCCCUGUACUUUAGUGGUCUAGGCUUUGAAAGGUAACUUCACUAUAGGCCUCGCACUCACCCUCAUCUCGACGGUGCGCGUGUUGCUGGGGAUUGGCGAAGAGGGCUGCCACGACGGCGCGCACUGUUGCGUUCUCUUCAGCCCCUCCCAGAAUUACUCCUCCCUCAGGUACAGGGAUGCUUGAAUGAAGACUCAAAUGAAUGGAAGAAACAUAUAGAAGAGAGUGCAGAGCAAGAUUGGUACCCUUGUUGUGCCUGCCCCCAUUGUUAGCUCUCUGAAGAGUUAAAGCUGCGACAGAGGCUACAACGACAAAGCCUAAUCUCACAAGCAUGACUCCGUUCACUCAUCACUCUGCCGGCCUCAACCGGCAGGACGGCCGAGACGGGGAGCCUCUACUCAUCAAGAACAAGAAAAGGUGAAGUGGAGUUAGAGCAGGUAUGGACGCCCUAGCAGGCUAAACUCUCUUCAUAUCUUUUAGGAUUUAGCUCCGAGAUGGAUUGCAGGAGCUGCUUGCCUGCGAGAGCUGAUGAACAUACACCACCAAAACAUGUGGCUGGUUUUAUUCGUCCCAUUUUGGCGCUGCAAUUGCCUGACGAAAGCGAGCCUCUUCGUGGCUGCUGAUUUGGCCCGGCCGUGAUGCACAGCGAAAGAUUUGUGGCUUGGAAGCUAGUAGGCCCAUUUGCUAAGCACGGGAAUGGGUGGUGGCUGGUGUGCUUGGAUACCACAGGAAAAAUGAGGAGGGGAGAGUUAUCAGGCUCACAGGAUGGAGCAUGUCACUACCCUAUUUUGGAUGCUAGUCUAGAUUUAUUUUAUCUAAAGCAAUAGUGGACUUUUUUACUAUUUGCAGAGGCGCCGUUGCUUCUUCUACUGUAUACUCUGGAAAAUUGGACUGGCUUUUGACUGGACGUAAUUGCAACAACUGCUUCUACAUUCA